rfam:Apaloderma vittatum contig27122, whole genome shotgun sequence.
GGCCAGUUAGCUCAGUCGGUUAGAGUGUGGUACUGAUAACACCAAGGUCACGGGUUCUAUCCCUGUUCGGUCCC